CAAUAGGAGGCUCCUUGCCCCCACUCUUCUGUAAAAUAUACGCUCCGCCCAGGGUUUCCAUCUUGGGAGUCACUUUCAAGUUCGCAGCCUAGAGAGAGCAGUGUGUUGUUAAGACUCUGAACUGCAUUUGUGCCUGAACCCCAUGGAGGCCUUUGUGGAAACUUGAGAUUCUGGCAGGAGGCUAUGAAGAUCUACUGGACUGGCAGCCACCUAAGACAAGCCUCCUAAAUGAAGAGACAGAAGGAUUUAGAAUCUCAUUAAAGGUUUUGGAGCUGAUAAGUGGCAGAGCUGAAAUUUGAAUCCAGGGAGUUUCACAAAAUGAGCUUGGCUUUCUUAACUGCUAAGCUGUACUCUGCAUAUUCUUAAUUUCCCAUUACACUCUCCCCCGUGAAGGACUGUGGACCAUGCAUGAUUGUAUUACCGGAUAUACAAGCACACGGUGUCCAGAGAAAUAGGAGUAUAUGGAAAUCUUUACAGUGAGGACAAGUAAAUGGAUGAUACCUGGUAUCAGUUACCCAGCUCUGGAUGAAGAAAUGCAUAUAGAGACACAAUUUGAGCUUUGUGAGCUGACAGUCAAGCAAGUCCACUAGGAGCCAAGUGGCUGGAAGAAUAAAUCCUCAUGAUGAUCAACUCCAAGUUCAAGACCCCAGGGUACCAGGAUCCCAGUCUUGCAAAAGCCAUAGGCAGGCUUUAAACAUCUGAAUUACCUGAUCUGAUCUGCACUUUAAGAGAUUAUUAUGCGCUCUGACUAACAUCUUCCUAUUUCCCUGACUCCCUGGCCCUGGCAACCACCAUUCUAUUUUCUGUUUCUAUGAAAUUUGGCUUUUUAAAAUUCCACCUGUAGGUAAUAAUCACAUUUGUUGUUGUUCAGUCGCCCAGUCACGUCCGACUGUUUGCGACCCCAUGGACUGCAGCACGCUGGGCCUCCCUGUCCUCACCAUCUCCUAGAGUUUGCCCACGUUCGUGUUCAUUGCACAAGUGAUGCAAUAUCAAAUGUAAUAUGCAAAGUAAUAUCCUAUACUAUUUGUUUUCCUCUAUCUGACUUAUUUCACUUAGCAUAAUGCCCUCAAGGCCCAUUUGUGUUGUGGCAAAUGACAGAAGUCCCUUCUUUCUCAUGACUGAUACACAUACACACACAGGUAUAACACAUAUUCUUUAUCCAGUUAUCCUUGACAAACCCUUAGCUGUUUCCUUGUCUUGGCUAUUGUGAAUAAUACUGCAAAAAACACGAGCAUGCACAUACUUCUUUGAAAACUUGUUGCAUUUCCUUUGGCUGCAUAUCCAGAAGUAGAAUGUCUGGAUUAUAUGGUAGUUCUAUUUUUAAUUUUUAAGGGAUUCCCAUACUGUUUUACAUGGUGGCUAUACCAAUUUACAUCCCUACCAACAGCAUAUGAGGUUGCCCUUUAUUCCAUGCCCUUGCCUACAUAUUAUUUCUUGUCUGUUUGACAGGUGUGAGGUGAUAUUUGUUUGUGGUUUUGAUUUGCAUUUUACUUAUGAUUAGUCAUGCUGAGCACCUUCUCUGUGUCAUUUGACCAUUUGCAUAUAUUCUGUAGAAAAAUAUCUAUCCAUUUUUAAGUCAGAUUCUCUUUUUGCUAUUGAAUUGUAUGAGUUCUUUAUAUAUUUUGGUCAUUAACCCCUUAUUAGAUAUUUGAUUUGUAAGUAUUUUCUCCCGUUUCAGUGGUUAUCUUUUAAUUUUGUUAAUGAUUCCCUUUGCUGUGGAGAAGCCUUUUAAUUUGAUGUAGACUCACUUGCAUAUUUUUGUUUUUGUUGUCAAGUCCAAAAAAUCAUUGCCAAGACCAAUUUCAAGGAGCUUAUUAUCCCCUAUAUUUUCUUCUAGGAGUUUUAUGAUUUUAGGCGUCACCUUCAAGUCUUUGAUCUAUUAAUAUUUUGAUUUGAUUUUUGUGUAUGGUGUAAGAUAGGGAUCCAGUUAUUUAUUUAUUUAUUUUUUGCAUGUGGAUAUCCAGUUUAUCUACCAUUGUUUACAGAAGAGACUAUUAUUUCCCCUUCUUAUAUUUUCUGCUCCCUUGUUGACUGUAUAUUUGAUACUUUGGGGCUCUUGAUUCUGUUCUAUUUGCCUGUGUAUCUGUUUAUGCCAGUACUGUACUGAUUUGAUUACUAUAGUUUUGUAAUAUAGUUUGAAAUCAAGAACUC